rnacentral:rRNA from 1 species
CAAGACGGUUACAAGGGCAUAUGGCGGAUGGCUCGAGAUAAGAUGGGCGAUGAAGGGCGUGGCGUGACUGCGAUAAGCUUGGGGGAGGCGUCUAGCAACCUUUGAUCCCAAGAUUUCCGAAUGGGGAAACCCCAUAUUUAGAAAUAAAUAUGACCAAGCGCAUUAAACGGCGCUUCGGAGCGAACCCGCUGAAGUAAAACAUUUCAGUAAGCGGAGGAAAAGAAAACAAUAGUUUAUUCCCUUAGUAGCGGCGAGCGAAAAGGGAAGAGCCCAGAUCUUAUUUUUCUUUAUUAGUUUACUAAUUUAGGGAAAUGAGAAGUAGUAAGUUUAAUCCGUCCCGAGAGGGGGAGAGUUCAAGUAUUAAGGUUUGUCUAGCAGAACGGUCCUGGAAAGGCCGGCCAAAGAGGGUAAUAGCCCCGUAAGCGAAAGUCACCUUUGACUCUCUGGAUUUUACUUGAGUACCUCGAAAAAUGUGUAGUUCGGGAGAAUCUGCCGGCACGAGCCGGUAAGGCUAAAUACCAUCUAUCAUCGAUAGUGAACAAGUACCGUGAGGGACAGUUGAAAAGCAGCCCGGUGAGGGCGAUGAAAUAGUACCUGAAACCAUAUGCUUACAAAGAGUCGGAGUCCCGUGAGCGCAAGCUUUUACGGGAUGACGGCGUGCCUCUUGAAGACUGAGCCAACGAGUUAUCCAACACCUUUAGUAUAAGGGCGCCUAGCCCGGAGGCAAAGGGAUAGCAAGUGUUAAUAGCGCGAUUUUAUCC